rnacentral:misc_RNA from 1 species
GAUGAAGAACGCAGCGAAAUGCGAUAAGUAAUGUGAAUUGCAGUAUUCAGUGAAUCAUCGAAUCUUUGAACGCACAUUGCGCCCGCCAGUAUUCUGGCGGGCAUGCCUGUUCGAGCGUCAUUUCAACCAUCAAGCCCCAGGCUUGUGUUGGGGACCUGCGGCUGCCGCAGGCCCUGAAAACCAGUGGCGGGCUCGCUGUCACACCGGGCGUAGUAGAUUUUAUCUCGCUCAGGGCGUGCUGCGGGUUCCGGCCGUUAAAAAGCCUUUUUUACCCAAGGUUGACCUCGGAUCAGGUAGGAAGACCCGCUGAACUUAAGCAUAUCAAUAAGCGGAGGA